UCCAGACAAAUAUCCAUAAAUUGAAUCUUGAUCAGCAUAGGUGGUCCUAAAAUCUGAACCACCCCCAUAGAAGAGAAGAAAGUAACACAGCAACCUUUGGCCUCUCCAAGGGAGAAUACUUUUGAGUGUGUCCUUAUACAAAAGCUGCUUUUCUACAUAAUUAAGAUUACAAUAAUUAAGUGAGUAAUGACAGAGGCAAAAGCAUCAGAUUUUAAAUCAGAAUAUGUUUUGACUUCGUAUCACUCGCUUGGUUCAUGCCCAUGACGCAAGAAAGUUAAAAGAAGAAAGAAAAAACAGAGUGAAACUCGAAUCAUAAUCCAUCAAUGUUUGUUAUUGGUUUCAAGUUUUCAAUUAAUGGCGGAUCUAAAAGCAAAGGAAAUACGUCAUACCACUAGAGAUUAAGUGGAAACAUAAACUUAAGCCUUACGUUUCCAUCUAUGUUCUAUGAUCAUAACGUUAAACACGAGUAUUGCAUCUCUUGGCUCACUAUAGAUUGCAUAACAAAAAAAAGAAAAAAAAAAAGCCCUCCACCAUCUUUUGACCAUAUUAGUGGAACCUUUAUGUGACAAUUCUCCAACUUUUAAAUCCUGACCCAGAAAAAAAAUCUCUAUCAUUAGAAUGGGAUGGGGAGCUUAUUUAAGCCAUGCAUACAAAUGUUAUUGGCUAACAUAUUUUACAACUUUAUGUAGAGAAAGACUAUAAAAGCUUAUUAUUAUACAAUAGAACUUUCUCCUAUGCUUUUACGGAAGCAUGACAUCCACACAAAAUAUCAAUCUCAUCCAUAAUCUCAUCCAUAACUAAUGUCUAACUCACAUAUUUUCCAAACAAGCAAAAUUUUCCAAAGAUUAGAUGUCAACAUUUGAAAAAGUUUUAGCGUGGUCUAGUUAUAACGACUCAAGUACAAAUUAAUACGAACAAAAAACACACAGGUAAACUUACAUUUAGUUGAUGCACUAUUGGAACAAUGACUCUUCAUCAGCUCGGUCUUAUCCAAAUAAAAAGACAUGUUGAUUCAGCAAAGAUGAUUUUGUAUCUCAAACCAGAAAGCUUGUGAUGGUUGUGCCAUGCCUGGAACGUAUUUGACCUUUUGACAGUGGGAAAAAAAUUCUCAAGUUAAAGAUUUUUUUUGAAAUUUCACUUUCACAUAGAGGCUAAACUAAUGAAGACUGAGGCAGAAACAGAUCAAAGCAAUUAUUGGCACUCAGAAGUUAUUGAAUGACUCAAUUUCUAAAAAUGUGAAAACACUCAACAAAUAAGAAUCUCUUAGAGUGUCGCUGAUACAAAAAAAAAAUCAAGCUAAUAAGGGAUAGACAGAGAGGUUAUUACAUUGAUAUGUAAGAGAAACAGAGUAAAACAAGAACAUGGACACUCUUCACGAAACACAUCUACAAUGUAUUGAAAUUAGGCUACACCGGUAACAGAUAUCCAUUUACUAACAGAGGUAAACUGUAACAUAACUGAAAGUUGAGAAAGAUGGACAUUCAUAGUGGCAUACCAAAAAUGAUUGUAACAAAAUAAAUGCAUGUGGGAUAAACUGUUACUCAAUCUCUUAGUAACCAAUGUAGAAUAGGGAAAAUCUCUGUUAAUCAUACAAUGUCAUUAACACAUCCCACGCGUUAACAAAGACGUUCUUGCUAAAUUUCUAAAUCAAGUCAAAUGAUGCACUCUUGAUCAUCAAAAAUGCAACCUUAUAGACAGUGUCUACCAAUCCUAGUUCUUGAGAGCUUCAAAUAUAUUGGUUUAGUAACAAAUCUAGUAUCAGAGAGAGAGAGAGAGCAAAACAAUGUAGAAUAGAGAAACAUAUGUUCAUCAUACAAAAUCAUUAUUAUAUAUCCCACAAAUCAACAAGUCAAAAUAAAUGCAGUCUUGAUCAUCAAAAUGCAACCCUCAAGAAUUCAACAUCUUCAACGGUACACAACAAGAGCAAGAGAAUUCCAAACUAGAUGCAGAAAUUUCCAAACAAUAUCAACGAAUGCAACAUCAGGGAUUAUAUAUAAAUAUGCACAUUGGGCUUCAGUUGCAUUUCCUUUUAUCGGAUUAAUUUAUACAUAUGUUUUUUUUUUCUCAAAAUGUGUGUGUCAGGAUAGAAAGGCACGCACCAAUGGAACAUAUUCUGAGUAACGACAUCGUCGUAGCAAUCAAAUUUUCGAAUUCCGAGACCAAUGCCGUCUCCUCCUCCCACAAAAUCGAGUCGACAUUGAAAUCUGAGCACGCGCGAUUACCGAAACCGCAAUUUCUGACAUUUAGGGUUUGCCAAAUCGAACCAGAUGAAUACGAAUUACGGAGACAUUGACACAGCGAAGAGUAUCUAUUCUCGGGUAACAAACAACAAUCUGGAAAUCUGAAUCGGACCUUUUGACGUGUGACCUCCUCUUCUCUUCUCGUCUCGUCUCCUCCUCGAAUCGCCAUGGAUACAAUAUUAAACAAAAUAAAAAAU
rnacentral:lncRNA from 1 species